rnacentral:lncRNA from 1 species
GUGCUUGCCUUGAGAGCGAUCUUUUGUUUCCUUUGAUCAUCAACAAGAGGGUUAAGUAUAGUAGACUCAUAAGUUUUAAGAUUACCUCUUAAUCCGUCGAUGGUGACAUUUGAAAUGCAAAUAGACUCUUGAAUCGCGUCGGCCUUGGAGCGCCAUUCCGGAGUGAGACUUCGGAGAAUUUUUCGGACAAGUUCCUUAUCCGUGAAGGUCUUCUU